AACUUGGUGUGAAUUGCAGAAUCCCGUGAACCAUCGAGUCUUUGAACGCAAGUUGCGCCUGAAGCCAUUAGGUUGAGGGCACGUCUGGCUGGGUGUCACACAAUG
rnacentral:rRNA from 1 species